rnacentral:rRNA from 1 species
AUUGAACGCUGGCGGCAGGCCUAACACAUGCAAGUCGAGCGGAUGAAGUGAGCUUGCUCCUGGAUUCAGCGGCGGACGGGUGAGUAAUGCCUAGGAAUCUGCCUGGUAGUGGGGGAUAACGUCCGGAAACGGGCGCUAAUACCGCAUACGUCCUGAGGGAGAAAGUGGGGGAUCUUCGGACCUCACGCUAUCAGAUGAGCCUAGGUCGGAUUAGCUAGUUGGUGGGGUAAAGGCCUACCAAGGCGACGAUCCGUAACUGGUCUGAGAGGAUGAUCAGUCACACUGGAACUGAGACACGGUCCAGACUCCUACGGGAGGCAGCAGUGGGGAAUAUUGGACAAUGGGCGAAAGCCUGAUCCAGCCAUGCCGCGUGUGUGAAGAAGGUCUUCGGAUUGUAAAGCACUUUAAGUUGGGAGGAAGGGCAGUAAGUUAACACCUUGCUGUUUUGACGUUACCAACAGAAUAAGCACCGGCUAACUUCGUG